CGCGGUAAUACGUAGGGUGCGAGCGUUAAUCGGAAUUACUGGGCGUAAAGCGUGCGCAGGCGGUUUCGUAAGACAGAUGUGAAAUCCCCGGGCUUAACCUGGGAACUGCAUUUGUGACUGCGAGACUAGAGUGUAGCAGAGGGGGGUAGAAUUCCACGUGUAGCAGUGAAAUGCGUAGAGAUGUGGAGGAAUACCGAUGGCGAAGGCAGCCCCCUGGGCUAACACUGACGCUCAUGCACGAAAGCGUGGGGAGCAAACAGGAUUAGAUACCCUGGUAGUCCACGCCCUAAACGAUGUCAACUAGGUGUUGGGGAAGGAGACUUCUUUAGUACCGCAGCUAACGCGUGAAGUUGACCGCCUGGGGAGUACGGUCGCAAGAUUAAAACUCAAAGGAAUUGACGGGGACCCGCACAAGCGGUGGAUUAUGUGGAUUAAUUCGAUGCAACGCGAAAAACCUUACCUACCCUUGACAUGCCAGGAACUUUCCAGAGAUGGAUUGGUGCCCGAAAGGGAACCUGGACACAGGUGCUGCAUGGCUGUCGUCAGCUCGUGUCGUGAGAUGUUGGGUUAAGUCCCGCAACGAGCGCAACCCUUGCCAAUAAUUGCCAUCAUUCAGUUGGGCACUUUAUUGGGACUGCCGGUGAUAAACCGGAGGAAGGUGGGGAUGACGUCAAGUCCUCAUGGCCCUUAUGGGUAGGGCUUCACACGUAAUACAAUGGUCGGUACAGAGGGUUGCCAACCCGCGAGGGGGAGCCAAUCCCAGAAAGCCGAUCGUAGUCCGGAUUGUUCUCUGCAACUCGAGAGCAUGAAGUCGGAAUCGCUAGUAAUCGCGGAUCAGCAUGUCGCGGUGAAUACGUUCCCGGGUCUUGUACACACCGCCCGUCACACCAUGGGAGUGGAAUCUGCCAGAAGU
rnacentral:rRNA from 1 species